CAUUACUGAAGAACAUAGGGUUUUGAGACUGCGUCGUCAUUGACGUGUGCUCGACCCUUACUCUUUCAUCCACACACCUUUGUGCACCAUGGGACGCAAGUCCCUCUUUUAAUACAAACACCGAGUUAUAUGCAUGUUUUUACACUCUACGGAGUAUUGACACAACUUUCAACAACGGAUCUCUUGGCUUUCGCAUCGAUGAAGAACGCAGCGAACGUGCGAAACGUAAUGUGAAUUGCAGAAUUCAGUGAAUCAUCGAAUCUUUGAACGCAUCUUGCGCUCCUUGGCAUUCCGAGGAGUAUGCCUGUUUGAGUGUCGUGAAGUACUCUCAAUUUCAAUCUUUUUGUUUGAAAUUGGAUUUGGGCGUUGUCGUGGAUCUCACGACUCACCCUAAAUACAUUAGCGAUCUGCCUUUUGAUCACACAAUGUGAUAAGAAAAAGCAUUGUUAAGAUCGAUUGAUUAGGAUGGCUUCCAACUGUCGAAAGACAAACGCAUAUAUGCAUGUCAUUUGACCUCAGAUCAGGUAGGACUACCCGCUGAACUUAAGCAUAUCAAUA
rnacentral:rRNA from 1 species